GAUGAACGCUGGCGGCGUGCUUAACACAUGCAAGUCGAACGGUGAAAGAGAGCUUGCUCUCUGGAUCAGUGGCGAACGGGUGUGUAACACGUGAGCAAUCUGCCCCUGACUCUGGGAUAAGCGCUGGAAACGGCGUCUAAUACCGGAUACGAGCUGCGAAGGCAUCUUCAGCAGCUGGAAAGAACUUCGGUCAGGGAUGAGCUCGCGGCCUAUCAGCUAGUUGGUGAGGUAACGGCUCACCAAGGCGUCGACGGGUAGCCGGCCUGAGAGGGUGACCGGCCACACUGGGACUGAGACACGGCCCAGACUCCUACGGGAGGCAGCAGUGGGGAAUAUUGCACAAUGGGCGAAAGCCUGAUGCAGCAACGCCGCGUGAGGGACGACGGCCUUCGGGUUGUAAACCUCUUUUAGCAGGGAAGAAGCGAAAGUGACGGUACCUGCAGAAAAAGCACCGGCUAACUACGUG
rnacentral:rRNA from 1 species